rnacentral:rRNA from 1 species
UACGAAGGUGGCAAGCGUUGUUCGGAUUCACUGGGCGUACAGGGUGUGUAGGUGGUUUGGUAAGCCUUCUGUUAAAGCUUCGGGCCCAACCCGGAAAGCGCAGAGGGUACUGCCAGGCUAGAGGACGGGAGAGGAGCGCGGAAUUCCCGGUGUAGCGGUGAAAUGCGUAGAGAUCGGGAGGAAGGCCGGUGGCGAAGGCGGCGCUCUGGAACGUUACUGACGCUGAGACACGAAAGCGUGGGGAGCAAACAGG